ACAUCUUUACUAUCAC
rnacentral:sRNA from 1 species